AUUUAUCUUCAUGUUUUCUUCUUUAUUCAGAUUGUGUGGAUGCAGUUUGUCAGAAACCAGCUGUGGUGAUCUGGUUGCGGCUCUGAAGACCAACCCCUCCCACCUGACACAUCUGGACCUGGGUGAAAACAACCUGGGUGGUUUGCAUAUGAAGCAGCUCAAUCUUUUCCUAGAGAGUCCAGACUGUAGAUUGAAAGUACUGAGACUGGCAAAUUGCAGUCUGUCAGAGAUCAGCGCUUUUGUCUCAGCACUGAGCUCCAACCCCUCCCAUCUGAGACAGCUGCACCUGAGUGGAAACAACCUGCAGGAUUCAGGAGUGAAGCCACUGUGGGAUUUCUGAAGAGUCCAGAAUGUCGACUUCAAAUUCUGGGAUUUUGGGGCUGUGGUUUUACAGAGAUCAGCUGUGAUUAUCUGGCAGCAGCACUGAAGUCCAACCCCUCCCAUCUGAGAGACCUGCACUUGGACUCUAAUGACCUGAAAGAUUCAGGAGUGAAGCAUCUGUGUGGUUUCCUGGAGAGUCCACGAUGCCAACUACAUCUCCUGUCAUUGUGGAGCUGUGGUUUGUCAAAGAUCAGCUGUGAUUAUCUGGCAGCAGCACUGAAGUCCAACCCCUCCCAUCUGACAACGCUGAACCUGUGGGGAAACAACCUGAAGGAUCCAGAUGUGAAGCAGCUGUCUGAUCUUCAGCAGAGUCCAGAGUCCAGACUGGAGACUCUGAGGGUGAAGGGUAAUCCUUGGUAAACAGGACGGUGUGUGUGCUGAGAGAGGAGCAGCUGUGUCCUGAUGAUCCAGAGAGGUUGAAGCAGCAGCA